rnacentral:rRNA from 1 species
UACGUAGGGUGCGAGCGUUAAUCGGAAUUACUGGGCGUAAAGCGUGCGCAGGCGGUGAUGUAAGACCGAUGUGAAAUCCCCGGGCUCAACCUGGGAAUUGCGAUGGAGACUGCAAGGCUAGAAUCUGGCAGAGGGGGGUAGAAUUCCACGUGUAGCAGUGAAAUGCGUAGAGAUGUGGAGGAACACCGAUGGCGAAGGCAGCCCCCUGGGUCAAGAUUGACGCUCAUGCACGAAAGCGUGGGGAGCAAACAGG